UUGAGGAAGUUUGGAGAAGCCAUUUGUCCCUAAGGAGGGAUGCUCACACCUAAAGUACCAUCUUAUUUUGCUGACUACAGAUGUGAUAGUGUCAUGGCCUCUGUGUAUGGCCAAAUCCUCCAUCAGUCCAGCAAGAGUGGCUGGCCUGUGGAUAUACUGAAAAAUGCCAUCUCUACCAUCUUUGGCAUGUGGCUUGAAAACUACUCAGAGUAGUUCAAUCAGCCACCAGAGUUCACAUGCCUCAAGCAGCUGGUGGAGCAUGUGCUUUUGCACAUGCCUAGCUUAGACUUGGAGCACCGUGUGAACCUUCUACUGAUGCAGCUGGAAGAGAAAGAGACCAUGAGAGCCAUGACUGAGGGUCCAACUGGAGAGCAAGAAUCAGCUCCUGCAGCAAACUCCAAACCAGAGGCAGAUCCACAACCCAUGCUGGAGUGAAGAGUCAGAUUCGCUGGCAGCUCCAGUGCCACGUGUACCUAUAAAGCCACCUCGAUCUUUUUUGCUAAAGAAGAAACUGACUGUAUCUGUGACUGUGAAGCUGAAGCCAGACCAAGCAGGGCCACUUGUACCAGUGGUGCCACUCUGGACUGCACCUAUGACCAUGAAACGCAGGGAUUCCUCCUGGAUGCAGCUAGAGAAGAAAGCCAAGGAGCCCGGGGCUGCCACCAUGUACUCUACUUUCAUUCAGCUCUCGAGUGUGACCCAGAGCAUUGCCAACACUGUGCUCAGGCACUGCAUCCUGGCAACCUUGGCCCACACCCAGGAGCUCCGCAGAAUCUGGAGGAACCCUGCCUCCCUCCCAGGGCUUGGAGUCAGCACCACCCAGGGCUGGGUGGAGACCUGGGAAGAGUUCUGCAGUAGGCUGCUCCUCUCUCUCAGAACUCUGGGCACGCCUGCACCACAAACUGGACUGAAUGUGUGCAGAACUUGUUGGUGAAAGUAGGUAUGUGUAAAAUGUGUUUUAUAAAGUUCCCCCAAACUUAAAAUAAAAAAUAUGUUGUUAGAAAAGAGAGAAAAGAAAUGAAAGACCAUUUAGUAAAUAGGCAAAUAAAAAUGUUGAGGCUGAGAUUGGUGGGGCAGCCCUGUCAUUUUAUUACCUUGAAGGGACACUGAGGCAGGAGUCAUAAGCUUCAGGCCAGUUUGGCAAUUCAAUGUCUUAGUGAAACCCUUAAAACAUGAUGAAAUUCACCAUAAUUAGCCAUUAAAGGAAAACAGCUAAAACCCCAUUAAAGAAAUACGAUUACCAGGGAGAUGGCUCAGUGGAAUAAGUGCUUCCCUCACAAGU